rnacentral:lncRNA from 12 species
UCAUAAUAGCCCUGUUGGUAUGUUGAGCACUGGUCAGGACAGUGAUUUAGUGAGGAAGUAGUUUCUCUACUGAUUUGUUGUUCGUGAGUGUACAAGUGAACUAGUUUGAUUCUUCGUUAUUGUUAGCCGACUCUCUGAGCUGAGUUUCAGGGAGAAAGGUACUGAUUGGAGUCACUCUCUGAAGAGGUGAACCAUGAAGCAGAAACGAAAAAGGAAGCAUCUAGAAAGGACAAGUUCCCCCCAAACUGUCAAGAGGUCAAAAGCAAGUACUAACGUAGAAGAAGUUCUACAGCAUGAACAAAGCGCAGUGGCCUCAACUUCAGGCCAGACAGAAAAGGACUCUUCUUCCUCUUCAGAAUGCUUCAGCACCUCCUCCCAAGAAAAGCUCACUGGUGCUGGAAUCUUAAAAUCAAGCAAAUGUGAUCCACCACCUGGCCACUCUUUGGAAGACAAUACUGCGGUCCCUGAGGCAAAAGAAAUCUUAAAGAAGCAAAAGGAUACUCCACAGCCUGGUGAGAGUACCUCACAGGAAGAACACAGUGCCGUUGUCUCAAGUGACCUCCCCUGUGCCUCUGACAAUAAGAAUACGGAAAUCUUAAAGAAGCAAAAGGAUACUCCACAGCCUGGUGAGAGUACCUCACAGGAAGAACACAGUGCCGUUGUCUCAAGUGACCUCCCCUGUGCCUCUGACAAUAAGAAUACGGAAGUCUUAAACACAGAUGAAGACAUUCUACUUUCUGGACCCUCUGGGUUGGCCCAAGGCCACAGCCAGAGGGCAGAAGUUUCAGACUCAGAAUAUAUUUCCCGUAUCUCUCCUGCAGACAAGCUCUUUGACAGAGAAUUCUGGAAGAACCAAGAGAAUGUGCCUCAGCCUGAGUCAUAUGUGGUCUCUCCUGGCAGUGAGAUUGCAGGAGAAAAGUCUUCUUCCUCAGAAUACGUCUGCAUCUCACCUUCUGGUAAGUUUAUCCUUGCUAAAGAGGACGGUGAGGGAAAUACACAGGUCGCGUCUGAGCAGAGAUAGCAGGUACAACUGAGCUGCUCAGCCCAAGCCUGACUUAUCUUAUUCUCCCCUUGAAAGCAGAAGAGGGCUUCAGGGCAGAGGGACUAGGACUGAAGCCCCUGCAGAGGAACAGAAAGGGAGUGUAGCUUCAGGGGGAGGACCCAGUCACCGUUGUAGCUUCAGGUCAAGUAGAGCCCCGCAGUGGUGUGGACAUUUCAUCACACCCUUCCCCCUCAGAGGUGCAUGAACUCAUCCUCACCCACACUCCUGCAUCUGUGUUCCUUCCUACCAGUUCUGGUCCCAUUUCUCCUUCCUUUUCUCCUUGCCUUCCUUCCUCAUUCACUUUCCCAGUCUCUGGCAUGGCAUAGCUACACCCUUGUCCCUUCAUUCCCUCACACAGUCAGACUCAUCCACUCACACACUAAUACCAUAAGU